AUGGCCAGCGAGGAGCAGCACCGACCCGCCGCGGAGCACGACUACGCGAACACGGCGGACGGUGACCCUCGCAGCCCCCCGUCGGCUGCGUUUGUGGCCGCCGGGAUGGAGUACACGGAUCCGGUUGAAGGAUGUCCCGGAACGGACCCGGACUCCCGGGUGACGCCGCGACACCCCGCGCGGCCGGAGGACAGGAACUGCUCGUGCUGCCAGCUGCUGUUCGAGCGCCACGGACGCUCCUUCAACCGCAGGGCGGUGUACACCUUCACCACCCCGGACACCGUGCGGUGGGUCUUCCCCGAGUCCACGGUCACGGAGAAGUCCUUCCUGUGCGAAAGGUGCGCGCAGGUGAUCCGCACCAAGGGGAGGCGGAAACAGAGCGGGAAGCGCAGCCUGUGGCUGAAGCCGCCCACGCCCAAGAAGACCAAGGACAAGCAGGCGGCUGGCUGCAGGAUGGGCAAGAAGAGCACAGCCGCCCUGCUGGUCAGCAAGGCCAGCUACAAGGCCGCUCUCCAGGUGCUUUGGUCAGCCAAAGGCGCCCGCAAGCCCAUGUUAGAUUUCUUCAGUAAGCAGCUCAAGUUGGAGAUGAAGGAGCUGUCUCGGAAGGCAGACAGCCCCUUCCACCUGAAGGUGUCGGGCAGGAAGCCACUGUCGACCUUCCCCUGGCGGCAGUGUGCAAACUGGGCCCAGGAGUCCGCUCCGCUGGUGGGAACCUGCCUGCGUUCCAUGUUCCCCGAUGUUAACGCCAUCCUCAAAAGCAGUCGUCAGCUGUCGGAGGAGCAGGCUGUGUCGCUGCUGGAGCGCCGCACCGUGGUGGCACUGUCCAUCCCACUUUUCACCAGAAACAACUGGAGGAACAAGUUCUUGCAAGCUGCCCUGGGGGCGGAGCUACACCUGCAGGGCUGUUCUGGCUCCGCCCUCGACACCCUCAACACCAUGGGCUUGUGUCAGAACAAAGACACCGUCAAGUUACUGCUGCAGCGGCUGGGAAGCAGCAAAGAUGCGCUGGAUGAGGAACUGGACAUGAUGGGAGAACACGAGCAAAGGAGAGAACAGAUGGAAGAAGUUUCAACUGAUGACAAGGAUGACAAAGAGGAAGAGGAAAUGGUGAUGACCGUAGAGGAGGAAGUGGAACAGGAAGAAGUGCAGGAUGAGAUUUGGGAGGAAGAUGAUGAAUCAGCAGUCAAGGUGAACGAAGCUAAGAAGAGGCGCAAGAAGGCAAAGAGGAAGGUUAGAGGAAGACGAAAGCAAAGGGAGGAAUCUGAGGGGGAAGAAGGGUCAGAGCAGAAAAAGAGGAAGGUGGUGGUGGUGAGGCUGGGCCUCCUAAAGGGGCACUCUGAGGUGGGAAGAUCUGACCUAUCAGCUCCUUAG
rnacentral:lncRNA from 1 species